ensembl:lncRNA
GAGCAUCGUCUCUGCAAUGUAAAAGCCUCUGGAAAUACAAGUUUUACACGAUGAACCAACAGCAGUCAUUCACCUGCGGCUAAAUUCUCAGUGUUUGUUCUGCACAACAUUUUUCCCCAGGUGAUAAGCCUGCAAGUCUACUGGAGAAAAAGCACGGUGAAGUGCAGGUGGGAAAUGCAUAAAGCAGCUUUCACCGUGGUGUAAUUGGGAGGGCUAACUUUAUUCUGCUGUGCAGUUUAUCUCAGCAAGCUCUGCCUUUUCCUAAUACGACUGCGACGUGCCAAGGCGCUCCAGGAAAAACAAAACAGAACAUGAAACCACCUCACUUACAGGGAUGACGCAGACUAAGUUCAGAAGAGACGAGGAAGACUUAGGGUUUUGCUCAGGCAUAACAGAUAUGUCUAAGCAUCAGUCAUCAAUUCUGCCACCACUCGUAAAAGGUGCAACACCGAUACAUUCACUCAGAGACAGCUGGGAGUCACUUUUCUGGUUUCUGAGAUACAAGCAGCAUCAGAUACAGACACAAAUCACGCCUAGAUUGCAGAGGAGGAAGACAAAGCUUGUUGGGAAAACAAGGUGUAUGCCCUCCCCCGUGCAAGCAAGGAUACAGACAGGUCUUCUAAAGAUGGCUGGGAAUCAGACAGUCUGUGUUUCUGCUAAGGACUGACUUCCUGACUACCCUUGCACAAAUCUCACCCACCUCACAUCCCAUUUCGGAGCUUCAGAAUGAAAAUGCUACUUUUGUCUUCCUGCCAUCUUAGUUGGAAUGCAAAUCUGAUGAGUUCUUCAGUCUUUCCCAGCUGUCAUUCCACAAUGAAAAAUGAUGCACUGGAGAGAAAGGAAUGUUAUAGCCUUCAUUUCCUCAGUAGCCUCCUUUAUAAGAACAGAAUCUGGCCUGGCAGUCCUCCUUCAUAAAAUGUAGUAGGACCUGACUGACACUACAGGAGUUAUCACAUUUGAGUUGCAGCUUGGACCACUGUAAUUCAUAACAAAACUCUGCCUUCUCACAUUUUUAAAAUAAGACAAAGUCAAAAUACUUGCAUAUCAUAAUUCAUGUACUGUCCUGUUGCUAUUUUAUCACUAGAAUUUGACAGCAGGGGCUGCCUCAAGCACUGAAGUCUUCACUGUAGCAAUUACUGUGCAGUUGCUUUCAGAAACAGCAGAAGAGCAACAAAAGCCAUCUUGUGACAAAAACAGGGACAAAGCUACCAGAAAUUUGAUAGCUCUACCCUGUUUUGUUUAGAUAAGCCCAUAUCACCCUCACGCUCAGCUACCAUUGGCUUUCUAUACUUACUUCUGCAUUUCAUUUUCACUUCUUUAAGUUGACUUAUUGCACAGCCGUGUGCUCGCUCAUAGCAGCCCCCAGGACAGGUGGGGAAUAGCCACCUCAGUACAGCCAGGGAAGGGCCACACUUCUAGGAUGCGGUGUAGAAGCACAUCGCAUUACUGAUGAAUGCUAAGAAUAGCUUGAAUGGCAAUUAAAAAGACAAGCACAAGGAUUUCAGUGAGCUGUAAGGCCUUUUUAACAGCAGUGUUAAGAUCUUAUGUUAAGUUGAAAUACAAUAAUUGCAGAUGCCUGAAAGCUGUACAAGUUAUUCUAUAGCUGCUGAGCUUCAUUUUGCCAACAUGCAAUAAGGACUAGCUGCUCCUUUACAAGAAGCCAGGUACAGUAACAAGGCUAGAAGCACUAGCCUCCUAUUACCUGAGCAAGGCUGGCUUAAUAACAGCAAGCUGAUUUAAUCAAGUAUCCAGAUUAUCCAGCAACUUGCAGUGAUGAUGCAGGCCCAAGGUCAAGCCAGGAAAUCAAUCUACAGGUCAGGUCAAAUCCAGUGGGACCAACCACAGUCAGACAAAACUCAGUAAGUACUCAGCAGAUGCAAGAUGACAGAAUAAGCCCAAAAUCAAGAUAAAAAUUCACCUUGUAGAUCAGCCAGGAAGUCUGUGACUGAUUUAGAGAUCAGCACUAAUGCAACAAAGCCCAAAGAUCACAAAGAACUAAACCUGAGUUUAAGGAUUGCUCCUGGGCUGAGGGCCAGAGGGUGUGGGUCUCAGGUGAGGUUGGUUAGUCACAUUUCAUUCAUUUACAGUAAACAAAAGAAACCCAGCACCACCCUUCUUCAGCAAAUCCAGUUUCUCUAUCACUGUAUUUAUAAAAAAAAAAAAAGAUUUCUGAAGAAGUGUAUUGCCUCAAAUGGAUAUCACAGGACUACCUAGGCUCCAUUGCUCUGCAAUCUAAUUUUCAAGCAGUUGUUGGCAUAGCUGGCUCUGCCCAGGACUAGUGACUCCUCAGCAGGCAAUCACAUUGCUCUCAGCCUACUGACAAGCUCUGAACUGUGCUCAUCUGCAGCCAUUUCAGCUGCUUCUGGGAAAAUCACAGGAGCACUGUGUGUUGCUUGAAUUGGUGUGGCCAGUUCUGUUGCUCCUAACAAUAUCCAGCAGCACCUUGCGGACCAGACUAUGUCUAUGUCCUCCUCAAAUCAUGGGUCUUAAUGAUGUCUCCACUAGGGAAUCCACGAGAGCAAUGUGUUGGAGAUUCUUGGCUAUUAUCCCCAUCUGUUUUAUUACAUAUAUAUUUUUUUAAUAUCGUUGCUUAAAAAUGCAUUUCCUAGAGAUAUUAGCAAUUAAUUGCUAUCUACUAGAUAAUAUAAUUAAUCAUAAAAAUGAAAGAUGUGUUAUCAAGGAACUUUCCCAGUGCUGAGAAUUGCUCUGAUCAAGUGAUAGGAAGUGAAUUAAGAGGUGAAAUAUUGAUAUUAUAACAAAUACUUCUUCUAAAGUAGAACUAAGGGAGAGAAGUAUGAGAAACAUGGACCGUUACGGGCUCUAUGAAGAGUCAACAGGUGAAAAAUACUUUUCUCUAGAGUCAGAAAGUUUUUGUAUAUUUUUCACCACAGAUGAUAAAGAAAGGAAAGAGAUAAGUGCAGAGGAAGAUACAUACAACAAAAUAAAGAGAAAUGUGCAAGAAGGCUUUCAAAGGACUUGAACUCUGCUGUACUGUGUCAGAAAUCCUCUCAUUUCACUAAAUAAAAGUAUUCCCUAUAAAAUAUCAAGUAUAUACUGGAUAUCUUGCUGCAGAAAAAAUAAGACGACAAGGCACUGUAGUUUUGUUGUGUGAUAUAAUAAUUAAGUAUCAUAGAAUCAUAGAAUCGCUAAGGUUGGAAAAGACCCACAGGAUCAUCCAGCCCAACCAAUCACCCUUCACCAAUGGUUCUCACUAAACCAUGUCCCUCAACACAACAUCCAAAUGCUCUUUGAACACCACCAGGCUCGGUGACUCCACCACCUCUCUGGGCAGCCCAUUCCAGUGCCUGACCACCCUUUCAGAGAAGUAGUAUUUCCUAACGUCCAGCCUGAACCUUCCCUGACGCAGCUUGAAGCCAUUCCCUCUAGUCCUAUCCCUAGUCACACGAGAGAAGAGGCCGUCCCCCAGCUCACUACAACCUCCCUUCAGGUAGUUAUAGAGAGCAAUAAGGUCUCCCCUGAGCCUCCUCUUCUCCAGACUGAGCAAUCCCAGCUCCUUCAGCCGCUCCUCAUAAGGCCUGUGCUCCAGACCCCUCACCAGCUUUGUUGCCCUCCUCUGGACACGCUCCAGGGCCUCGAUGUCUUUCUUACAGUGAGGGGCCCAAAACUGGACACAGUACUCGAGGUGCGGCCUCACCAGUGCUGAGUAUAGGGGGACAAUUACUUCCCUGUUCCUGCUGGCCACACUAUUUCUGAUACAAGCCAGGAUGCCAUUGGCUUUCUUGGCCACCUGGGCACACUGCUGGCUCAUGUUCAGUCUAGCAUCAAUCAACACACCCAGGUCCAUUUCCUCUACAAGUAAAGGCAUUGUCCUUUGUCAAUGCUUUCAAUUUUAAAAUAGAUAAUGAAUACAUAUUUAAAGAAAUCAGUAUUUGCUUGCUUAUUUCGUGCAAAACAAGCUACUCCCUCUAUCCGUAUUUUAUAUAAAAUACUUCAGACUUGAAAACAGUUGUUUGUGAAACAGAUUUGAAAUAUCAACAGCUGCCUCUGGCUGAGCUCUCUGUCUUAUCCCAGGGACGAGUUAAUCUUGUUGUGAUUGCAGUUGCUUGAACAGUGUAAUCAAAUGAAGGAACAAUGCAUACAAACCCAGUUUCGUUGUUUAGUUCAACAGACCGUACUAAACUGAAAGAAGAAUCUGUAGUCAUUUUUGCCAAGUACUGCUAAAAGUCCUUUAGCUUAAUGGUAUUUCUUAGAAGAAAAUAAUUCCAUUCUCCUUAUCUAGCUUCUAAUACCAGAACAAUGCUGUUUUGGAACUAGUUCACAAAUAACCAGGUCAAAGUAUAUUUAACAAAUGGCUUCUACGCAUUUAUCUUUUUCUAGCACUGGUCAUGAACUAUUUAAAGCUUUUUUUUUUUUUUUUUUUUUUAAAAAUCAGAGUAAAUGUAAUCUGUUCCAAAUGGCUGUCAUUCAGCUGGUACAUUGUAUUCAGCAAUAUGCUGCAAUAUACCUUUGCUUUGUAGGGUAAAAGAUGUUUCUUUGUUUACAUUUUGUCACAUCCCCUGCAAUGGAUGCUUCCUUCAUUAGCUGAUUAAAAGCCCUGAAGUUCAUGGAAAACAUUGCAGCGAAAGCUUCUCAAAGGUCUCAUUACAGAUUUAUUGUAAUAGUUGGCUUUCUGGGCAUGCAAAGAGUUCUUGAACACAAAAUCAGGGGAACUAAGAUAAGAAUUUCUCAAUCUUUCCAUGCAAGCACUGUUAAAUUUCCAGCAGAUAUGGUCCACCACUUCUGUUAUGGAAAAGAGCUUGCUUUUGUGCUUUUCAAAUAUCCAACAAAGCUAAAUACUUAUUCUUCUCCGGAUUGAAAAAUAUCAGAAUAAAUAAAGGAUAAAGCGAAAGUGAGAGAAUGAACGAAGGAGUUGGCAUUUGGGGGAGAAGAAAGAAGCAGUGUAGGUGGGAGGGAAAUGAAAGAAAAAAAGGUUGAGUGGGUUGCAAAAGAACAGUUAGGUGAAUUGUGAGAAGAGAAACUAUCACUAAGGAAAAUCAAGAGUGCAAGAAUAGAACAGCUUAAGUUAAAUAAAAACACUGCUGCUUGAGCUCUCAAUCUUUCAGGGAACAUUACUUAAGCGCUUCUGAACAAAAGUUCUUUGAGGCCCCAUCCUACUGUUUGUUUCUUCCAGAGCUAUUCUCGCAGUUCAUUUACAACAGGACUCGAAUGCUGAUGAUGACAUCUUCUGAACUGGUACUGUGUAUACAGUGGUUCUUAGUAUACCAACUCCUGAAAAAAAACCACAACUCUCCCUCCAAUGUUUAUCAGGAUGAGAUCUGAUGAGUUCAGAAGCUGCUGGAGUUCUUAUGAGUGGUAACAAACCUGACAGUUUUUGCUUUUACCAGAGUAUGCUUCAGUUCACUUCAUUACAGCCAGACCUCCACAUUUUGAGUGACAUAAAGUAUUGACUCCUCUAGCGAGGAUCUGUUAGUGAAAUUGGUACAUCAAUACUUACUUUCCUAACAAGCAGAGGAUCUUCUAAAGAUGAUUAAGAAUGCUUAAUCUGCCACAUACAGAUGAUACCGUUAAAAUCAAUACAAUUUAGCAUGUGCUUUAUUCUUAUUUAUGAUAAACUUAAUCAUGUCCUUAUCAGUUUCGAUAGAAGCUAAGUGAUACCAGUUAUAUGAUACUACACUGGUUCUUACAGGCUUUCUGCAUUUUUUCUUUUUAAAUACAUUUUUAAUCUAUAAACACUUCUGGAAAGUUGCUUGGUUUUCACAAAUCAGUUUUAUUAGAAUUUGUUUUAUUUAUAGGUAUAUUUAACCUCGUUUAUUACUUUCAGUUAGAGCACACUCUUGGUUCCUUUAAACCAUUUCUCUAGAAAACAGCAACUUCCAGGCACAAAAGAAUAAAGACAAGAAAUGGACCAGGGGGGGUAAAACAAAGGAAAACAAAUUAAUAGUAGGGUCUGAAGUUACUAAAUCUCUUGUAAUGUGAGGAGAAAAGUAGUAUGACCAAUAUCAUUAACUUCUGAAGGUCUUGAAUGUCUUCAGAACUUUUUUUUUUUUUUUCCCCUAGAAGUAUCUUUCUGUAAGAUGCUAAGUGGUAGGAAUGAGAAAGAUACCUGCUCCCAUCUUGCUUCUGUUCUACUUUUGAGAGUAAUAUCUGUCUUUUGCUGAGCAAAACCCGGGAGUGACCUUUCCGUCUACCUUGGAUGCAAAGUCCAUUCUUGCCUAAGUUCAGCUACUUGACCAGAGGAGUCUCUUCUUGGAACAGAUGAUUGCAGUGAUAAAUUUGCUUUAGAAAUUUGUGAUCCUCUCACAUAAAUGUUAUAUCAGAACCUUUAACAAGAUCAACAUACUCAAUGUCAUUAGAGAUUCCUUAUAAAACAUACAUUUGUUUUGACUUACUAGCCUUAUCGCAGCUCUCAAAACCUUUCUUCUACCUAAAGAAUAUCUGCAACAAUGUUCCUGUUAUGAAAGAGCCUUCAAUUCUCUUGAUAUAAUUAGGUAAGUUUAUUUGGCUUUUUGUUUAGCUAAAAGGACAGGAAUCAAGAUGGCACAGUCACUGUAUUUCAUUAUUUCCCACAUCAUUAACUUUUGUGCUACUUAGAACUUUACUAAAAGAAAUUUCUAAACAGUUGUCCAUCAAAAAAGACAGUUCAGCUAGAUAUUUUCUAAGAAUUUUACUGAUGUAAUCCUGAAAAAGUGAAGUACCUGCAUUCUUUUACUGUAUUUCUGAAACGUUUAGAAACUCCAUGCAAAAAUUUUGGAAGAAACUUAUUAAAAUGGACUUAUUUUAGCAUUUUUUUUUUAAUGAAAAACAGAAUUCAUGCUGCUGGUAUCAUUUGAAGAGGUAAUAUCACACAGACAAGAUCAUCUGCUCUCUGACUAGCUCUAAUAUUAAUGUUCAUGCAGAUUACUUUCAGGAAGUAAGCCUCCUACAAACCACUAAUGACUUUUCAGAUCCAUUAGUCUGUUAUGUAUUAUUAAUUUGAAGCAUUACUGAUUAAUGUUGUAUGUAGAUUUAUUUCUGCUCCUACAAUAUAAAGAACUAGCACCUUUUAUUACAGUUCUUAGAUGGAUGGUAUGUUACUGCAUGAUAUAUUUGGGUCCUUUGUUAGUUUCCAUCUCUUCCCCUGCUCUUAUCCGUCCUCUGUUAUACUGUCCUGUUUGCCCCCUUAACUACUGUUUCUAAUACUCAAAAAUAAAAAAGUUAGGUCACUUCCAUUCACCUAUUUUGUAAGAAGACUUUGGAAAGUUCAAAGUUGAGCAAAAAGGGAAAACUCUAGCAUAUGUAGCAUUACAUUUUUCAAAGGUAGCAGUGGUGCUUCACAUUCAUUGCCCCUUCCAGAGCCUGACUCAGCCACUGGACACACACUGCUCUGCCUUUGGCUGCUACUCCUGUUAACAGAGUGUGCUGCCUGCUGCUGCUACCCCAGAGCAACAGCCCAUCGCUCCUCAUGCCAUCCCUCCAUGGACCAGAUCGUCUGCAGUGCCCAGUUACAUAGCUUUCCCCAGCACUGUUUUUCUCAUGUUUCAUUCCCAGCAGUACAGCAGAGUGCAUGCAAAGAGUGACCAGCCCCUGCACAACCAAAUCCAGCCCUGUAAUCUCUUGAAUCCAGAAUCUAUAAACACCACUUCUUUUAUCUUUUUAACGAGUAACUUACAGAACGUGUAUGUUCCCCUAGCUUUCAUCUAGAUAGCUAGUUAAUUAUUUCCUACAGUGAACACUUCAGUCAUUAGCACCUCUGAAUUCACCUAUCUUCAGUUUUCUGCAGGCUGUUCUACAGGUGUCUUACAGCUCGUGUUUUUGUUAGACCGCAUACAUUUUGUAUCCCUAUGUAAACAAAGGCAUGGGAACACAUUAUAUAAUAUGCUCUUUUUAAUGCACCCCAGGAUACCAUCAGCCUUCUUGGCUACAAGGGCACGCUGCUGGCUUGUGACCAACCUGUUGUCCACCAGGACCCUCUCAGUAUUACUCUAUUUAUUUCCUCCUUAAAGAUUACAGAGCACUUAAAUGGCAUGAGUUUGCUGAGGAGAGCUGCUGAAUAUGUUAACAAUGAACACUCUCCUCUACAAAGAGCAAGGAAAAGAAGCCGAUUUUAGAAGCUGUGGAUCUUGCAGGCAUGUUUAAAAUUAAGAAUGAAAAGAGGGAAGAAACAUCUGGUGUUCGCUGAACCUUUGUAAACUGCUUUCAGACAAGCUCGGUUGGUAUUUUGGACACAGAACAAAGGGAGGGAACAAAGGCACCUGACAGACCUCUGGAAAGACACAGCCCAGGCCUUGGAGCCUGCUGGGAGACAGCGAUAGCCAGGAGAUGACAAAGGGAGAGGGGUGGGAGUGGAAAUGGCUGGAAGCAGCACUGUGGUCACUCCAGACACGCACAGAGACACAGAUACACUUGCCCCAGCAGCGCUUCGGGUGAUUAGGAAUAAAACUCUUGGAUCUCAUCCAAUAGAAUAUUGAAAUACUAAACAGACUUCCCUUCAGGAAUAUUUUCUCCUUUCUUUUUCCUUUCCCACACCAAGAAAUCAGAGAUAAUCAAUUUAAAGGCUUUUGAACUCCAUUCCCCAGACCUAUGAGAACAAGCCUUUGAUUUCAAGAGAGAAGUACAAGUGCUAAUAGUUGAUAUUAAUAUGAAUGCAGAAAUAAUGUUAACUUGGAAAAUAUCUAUUUACUCCCAGGUAAGCAUGUAUAGAAAAAUGUACGAAGCUCUAAGCUUUAAGACUUCCAGCUGUCAACUUACUAGCAAACCAAAGAGAACAGUUCAAUAAGUGUCUUAUUUCCUUCUAUCGCUCACCUGCAAAUGCAAAGAAAAUGUCACGUAAAAUACCAUUUCUGACUUUCUCACAGACACACUGUAUUCCUCACUGGCUAAGCCAAAGUAUGAGAAUGUUUACCCAUUUAAACCUUAUGUUUCCUUAUGUCAAGAGGGAGAGCAACCAUCAGUGAAAGUCAGAGCCUCAGGAAAAUUCCAAUAGUAAGUGCUGGAGUGUGGUGCUCUCUUGAAGACUAUGCAGUGAACUGUCCUUUUCCACAGUAGGAAAUCUUUACCUCAGUGUCCCCAACCUCUGUAAAACUCAAGUACAAAAUUGUCUUCCCUGACUCCUGCUAAAUGUACACUGGUUUUGACCAUGCAUGGGAGACGCAAAGAUACAGUUGAAAAACAGGAGCACUGCUGGCAAUUUACAGGCUUUGAUGACAAACGAUCAGUCUGCUGCAUAUUUGUUAACUAAUGAUACACCAUGCCAGAGCUGCACUGCCGGUUAUGACACAGGUCACUUUGUCCCUCCUAUCUACCUAGCCUGGGUUAACCCCUGGAAGUUAACCAACCUCAUUGCUCAGCUCCAGGAGUUCAGCAGCUCUUGUUUUUAGACUGUACAUAUCAUAUUCUGAUAAAUAAACAUUUGAAACAAGUCAUAGCAAAAACAUGAAAAUAUAAAAGUGAAAGCACUGAACUUUUACAAACGACAUAAUGCAAUACCCCUGUAUUUACAUUAGUCCUGUUAUUUACUGAAGUAAUGUCCAAACAGAUCAAGUACGUGGCACAUAAUUGUUUCUUACAACGUGGAGGUUCUUUAUGCUAAAAGGGUAUCAAUUAUUUAAUUUACAGAAGACUUCAAGUUUGCUGACUAUAACAGAAAAUUAAAAUAGAACGGGGAAGGGUGGAGGGAGAAUCUUAAAUCUAACCACAACAGCUUCAGAGACCAAGAAAGCACUAUCCUGUGUGAAAUAUAUUACCUUUCCUGUUGCUUUCCUUUUAAUACAAAGUAAGUGUAAGAUGGCGCACAUAAAUUACCUAGGCUUGCUGAUUAACUGCCUGAGUUACAGUCAAAAAACUUCUGUAUAUAAAAACUGAAAUAUAGCAUUUACCAUUUCUUCUGUUACCACGAGACCAUUUCAUUUUCAAAUCAGUAAAUUUCCUUUGGAAUUCAGUAAAUAGAUGAAAAAUUGGCAUUAUUGCUAACAAUGUUCUUUACCAUUAUUUGUUGAAAAGGGACAGGUGUGUCAGCUUUUCAGUACCUUCUACUUUUAUACUAACAAUUUAUGUUCAGGAAAAGCUGUGAGCUGUUCGAGCCUCUGGCAAAACACGACAAACAACUGUUGUGAACAAAACCGUUUAGUAGAACGCUAGAGAGCAUUCUACUAGUAGAUAGUAGAAUGCAGCCUUGCAUGAAGAAAGGUUUCUGCCUUAAACCUCCGAAAGAGAACAGUUCAACUAGUAAGAAACUUUUCUACAAGUGAAGACCUAUGAUGACUUUUCUGGAAAAAAAAAAAAAGAAAAAAGAAAAAACCAAUCUCGGUGUGUGUCAUUUUUGGUUUUGUUUGUUUCUUUGUUUAUAUGCUCUUAUGGUGGGACAAGAUCAUUAGAUACUGAAGAGGAGGAAUAGUAUGGAGAAGGAUAAGAGACCUGGG